AAAUCUCUUGAGUUUGCCAAGUGUUGUAUUUAUGGAGCUUUCUGUUUUAAAAAAUAGUUAAUGAAAAGACCUUGCUGUGAACAUAAAUGGCAGGACUUCACUUGGACCCUGGACUUAAGAAAAAAGAAAAGUUGGGUUACUUCCCUCUGCCUCUAAGCAUAAAGCCAAGGUAGAAGCAAUGACCUUAGACCUUGCUUCUCUUCACAGUGUGCAGCACUUCGCUGAAGCAUUCAAGUCCAAGAAUGUAUCAUAUCAUGGUCAUCCUCUCGAGUCCAUUUGGCAUGCAUCUUGUAAAUCAUUAGAAGUAAACAAUCAAAUUUUGCUGGAGAAAUUAGAAAAUGAAAGCCUUUUAUUGAAUGACACUUAGAAAAUGAUAAGAUACAGAAAAUAUAGAAUAAGUAAACCCUGUUUUACUUUUGUUGUCAUACAUUAUUUUACCAAUGUAUGUCUGUUUAGCUACAUUAUGUUCUCAUUAAUGGAAACGUUUUAUUAAUGUUUCACUCUUAUUUUAUUUUGGAAAAUGUGGUAGGCAAUGUUUUAGCCUCUGUCUUGCCUUCAGGUAUUUGUAUCUUGAGUCUGUGCUUGUGUGUGUGUGUCUGGCAGGACUUCUUGAAGCAUUGCAGGAAAGAUUAAGGCCUGUAUCUAUUGUGAGGCUUGUGGGAUUUUGACCAAAAUGAAUUUCCAGCUAUAUUUUGUUUAAACUCUGAGGUUGGAUGGAAACCAGGCCCCACACACUGCCUGUACCAGUAAAUCUUUUAUCUGAUACAGAUACAGAAGAGUUACCUUGCAAUCAUCUGCCCUGGCAGGACUAUGGACUAGAAUAUCUACUAGGUCUUUCUAGCUCUGAUUUUUUGUGAUUUAACUAUGUCUGGAUAAGGUCAAAAAGCAAUUAUACAGCAAUAGCAUGUUGUUAGUGCAAUGCCAGCUUUGUAUAUUUUCUGGCUCUAAUAUACACUAACUACUUUUGUCUCUUUAUUUGUUUUGCAGUAGUGUCCAGAAGCUUUUGUCAGAUUCCUUUGUAUUAGUAGCUUUAUGAGCAAUAGAAAGAAAUCUUAUGCAUUCAGUGACAGAUGGAGUCUUGUUCUGUAUGCUUUGGCAAGUCUGUAAGCGGGUAGCCUGGCUUUCGCAGGGCUUUGGUAUCUCUGAUUUCAGGCGUACCUUGAUCGCAUUCUCCCCAGUUCGGUGUGCUACCUGUAAGUCAUGUCAAUGAACGCAGGAGACACGUGAUGUCAGCACAGAGUUUUCAUGCUUAAAAAAUUCCUAA
rnacentral:lncRNA from 1 species